rnacentral:ncRNA from 1 species
GUAAUAGCUAAGAAGGAGAAAAGUAUGUUAUAAACUGUUUUACAGAGAGAAGUUGUCAUGGGCUGAGAACACUUCAAAUAAGUAUAGCAGAAGUUCGCUCUGGAGCUGUAGAGCUGAAGGUUACAUUGUAGUAGGCUUUAUCGGAAGGACACCGUUAUUGUCUUAGAGAGGCACAAAAUACUGUGCUAUUAGGGUGGUACCGCGGAUUAGACCUUCGUCCCUUUA